rnacentral:misc_RNA from 1 species
CGAAACGCGUGUCAAAGACGGGGUAUUCGUUUCCCGGUGCGCAGCCGUUUUCCACUUCCCCGCGCGGCAGUGUCACCUUACGGUAUUUCCCGACCAGUUCUCCGUUGGGUCCGACAAGAACCGAAGUGUUGUAAACCAGAUGGUUCGCUCGUUCGAGCAGGCCGGCAACGAUGUAAAGAUUGUGUUUCUUCGCCAAUCCGGCAAAGUAAUCGGUCGACGGC